rnacentral:misc_RNA from 1 species
GUUCUCUCCUCUGAGUUGCUAACGAUUAGCAUGGCCACAUUUCCAGAAAUAACUGAUCUCUUCUGCAAACUCGCGGUCCACCUCCAAACACUAACUCACACUUCGCCAACACAUUAUCAAGAUAAAGAGCAGGAGCAUUCUUCUUCUGUUGAUCUCUCCAUUUCAAACCUAAAUCAAUAUCUCAAUCUCAAUGACAAUACUGGGGUUAGGGUUUUGGAUACCGCUCUCUCUCUCAUGUGCUUCGCAGCGCCACAGGUAUUUGAUUCUGUAGUUGAGUACUCUGUGAAGACGAUUGUUAGUGUUUUGUCUUCUUCAAUAAGUUGUAAAGUGUUGCCGUUCGAGAAAGAAGAAAUUUUGCGGAUUGGCAGUUCCAUUUCCCAGCGGGAUUGCUUGGAAUUUAUUGAAGUUGUUAAUGAUGUUGUAUCAAAAUUGGACCAACAUGGGUUGUCCUCUGGUUUGCUAUCAUAUACUGCUGCUAGAGUUGCGGUUUCAGCAUCCUGCUGUAGAUAUUUGGUCCCAUCAAUGCAUGUUUUGGAUGUUAAAUCAAUUGAUAGAAGAAGCACUGCUAUCUCGAACCUUCUCUGCUGCUGGCCCAGCAACUUCUCCCUUGAUGGCCAUGAAAUACCACUGAGGUUUGCUGCGGGGGUGUAUUUUUUUGGGCCCCCUUGGUUCCAACAUCUGUUAAUUGAUUAUCAGUGCAAAGAAUGUGUGUGUGUGUAUGCAUGUGCGUGUGUAUGUAAUAUCUUGAGAAUUUAUCAUGCCUUCCCCCUUUGAAAAUUUGUUCACUAAAUACAAGGCUAAAAAAUGACUUGUCUUUUUGGGAUUGCAUGAAAUCACACGUCAUGUUCUCAGUGUUUGACAUAGUUUCUGCAGGUUGUUGUCAUGGUAUCUUGACCCACUAACAUUAAAACAUGACAUUUCGAGUAUCUUGCAAGAAAACAUGAGAAGACCUUUCCUUACUUUGAGCAAGGAAUUUUAUGAGAGGAUGGAAUGGCGCUCUAUUCUUCUGUGCUUGGUGCUUUCUCCAAUUAUGUUCAUUCAUACCAGAGCUCUACUACAUGAUUGGUUCAUGCUGACCGAUCUGGGUUCAUUACUAGAGCUUUUGAUUGAAUUAGUUUCAAUGAUACUAGAUGUCAUUUCUAGACCGAUAUGCUGGGGCAUACCAUUGGAGUUGGGAACAAAGCUGCCAUUUUCUAAUGCAUAUUUCCCCAAUAAGGAUCACUUAUUGAGGACCUUAUCUGGACCCGUCUCUUCUUCAAGUUUUCAACAAUUAGUUCAUGCUACAAGCAAAUCAGUUUCUCUUGUCCGGAAACAAUUUGGUCCAAUUUCUGAGUCAUCUGCAUUGAAGGUUGCAUCUGUUGAUCCCAAAUCUGUCUGGGCUCUUGCAAUCUGCUUUCCAGAUUGGUUCUAUUUUGCAUCAGUAUUACUAUUCUCCAAUAAUUGUUUUCAAAAUAAUUUUCAAUUAGAGUGCACAAUAGAGGUACCCAAUUUUGGACAAACAAGUGACAUGGAACAACCUGUUGCUUCUGCUGCAAGGUUCAUUGCUUGGAUUCUGAGCCCCAAUAACAAAACUAAUCAGGAUCUGCUGUUUGAGAGUUUGAAUCAAGUAUCAGAGUGUUGGUCUCUGAAACAAAUUGACUCGGGUACUCGUGAGAGAGGUGUAGUUGACUACUGGAAGAAACUUAAGAAACCUGAAUGUUUUGACAGUAAGGAGGGUUUUAGUCAUGGAAACAAGUAUGGUUGUCAAGCCAUUGGCCUCUGGCUCAAAGAAUUCCAAAGAAUGAUGAAGUAUGGUGUUGAGUCAACCGACAAUUCAUCCAACCGUGAGGCAGAAUCAUAUAACUUUGUUUUACAGAACAGUAUGCUUUUCCGGAGAAUCCCAUUAGGCAUUUUGAUUGGUUGUCCUAGUUAUGUUAAGGAAGAUGGAUUUGAAUUGUUGUUGCAUUAUGCUGCAACUGGUAGGAUGCUUCAUUUUGUAAGUAAUAAUGCUAGAAUGCAUCAUGUAGAUGAAUUUAACGAAAAGGAAGCUGUCGCAGGUGCCUGUCUUGUCUUCACUUUAACUGAUAUUGUUGAGAGGAUGUCUGCUUCAUUACUUGAGAAUGAAAAAAGUGCGCUGGAUAUUAUUUGCCAGGUAAAAUUAGGGGCAAGCAGGUAUUUGAUAAAGUGUAUCGAGAGGCUGAUCGAGCUCAAUAUUAUUGAAGAUGGAAAUGUCAUGCAGGUGGAUCUACAUGGUAGAUUGGAGCGAUGGCAGCAUCAGGGGCAAGAAAUGUUAAAACUUGACAGAGAUCUUGAUGAUGCCAUUAAGUGCUUGAGUCGUAAAUUAUCACUGUUAUGACGGGAUUUUGUGAAGGACAUUGCCUCCUUGGCGCCCUGCACAGGUUACUUUGAAGCUUUCUUUCUAGAUGCUGUUGUUGUUGUACCAUACACAUACACAACUACUUUUUUUUUCUUUUUCUGUUGUUUAUUUACAAAGAACAACUGGUGAAUUCCCAGCUAAGGUUCCUAGAUUUAAACCUUCCCCCUUUAGACCAAUCUGCUCAGUGACAUGGAAAUCAAUAUUUCUCCAGUUUUUCUGCGCUGAAAUGAAAGAG